rnacentral:rRNA from 1 species
GAUUCGGGGACGAAAUGUCCUCGACCUAUUCUCAAACUUUAAAUAGGUAAGAGGGUGCGGCUGCUCCAUUGAGCCGCGCCGUGGAAUCGAGAGCUCCAAGUGGGCCAUUUUUGGUAAGCAGAACUGGCGAUGCGGGAUGAACCGAACGUUGAGUUAAAGUGCCUCACUGCCCGCUCACCUAGAUCCCACAAACGGUGUUGGUUCAUUUUGACAGCAGGACGGUGGCCAUGGAAGUCGGAACCCGCUAAGGAGUGUGUAACAACUCACCUGCCGAAUGAACUAGCCCGGAAAAUGGAUGGCGCUGAAGCGAGCGACUUAUACUCAACCACUAAGGCAAGUGCGAAGCCUUAGUGAGUAGGAGGGCGUGGAGGUUGUGGCGCAUCUUGCGGCGUGAGCCGGAGUGAAACAGCCUCUAGUGCAGAUCUUGGUGGUAGU